rnacentral:misc_RNA from 1 species
AUAAAAUUCCCGCCUUUUCCAUCCAAAGCCACGUCAAUUCCUUAUCCUUUCACUUUCAACGUGGCACUCGUUGCCACGCUGUCAUCUGUUUCCGACCAUUCCGAUCACAUCAUACGGCUCUCAAUCCAUCUAAUCGAACCACAAAAUCUGAGCAGGACCCACCUACCAAAUACAAAAUUUAAGAAAAUAAAAAAGAAUUUCCAGACUGUUCUUGCCCACGCUGAUGCGUGCUCUUAUACAAGAAGAGACAAAGAGUAUUUAUAG